rnacentral:rRNA from 1 species
GUAAUACAUCGGAACGUACCUUGUAGUGGGGGAUNGCUCGGCGAAAGCCGGAUUAAUACCGCAUACGCUCUGAGGAGGAAAGCGGGGGACCUUCGGGCCUCGCGCUACAAGAGCGGCCGAUGUCAGAUUAGCUAGUUGGUGGGGUAAAAGCUCACCAAGGCGACGAUCUGUAGCUGGUCUGAGAGGACGACCAGCCACACUGGGACUGAGACACGGCCCAGACUCCUACGGGAGGCAGCAGUGGGGAAUUUUGGACAAUGGGCGAAAGCCUGAUCCAGCAAUGCCGCGUGUGUGAAGAAGGCCUUCGGGUUGUAAAGCACUUUUGUCCGGAAAGAAAUCCUCUGGGUUAAUACCUCGGGGGGAUGACGGUACCGGAAGAAUAAGCACCGGCUAACUACGUGCCAGCAGCCGCGGUAAUACGUAGGGUGCAAGCGUUAAUCGGAAUUACUGGGCGUAAAGCGUGCGCAGGCGGUUUUGUAAGACGGAUGUGAAAUCCCCGGGCUUAACCUGGGAACUGCAUUCGUGACUGCAAGGCUAGAGUAUGGCAGAGGGGGGUAGAAUUCCACGUGUAGCAGUGAAAUGCGUAGAGAUGUGGAGGAAUACCGAUGGCGAAGGCAGCCCCCUGGGCCAAUACUGACGCUCAUGCACGAAAGCGUGGGGGAGCAAACAGGAUUAGAUACCCUGGUAGUCCACGCCCUAAACGAUGUCAACUAGUUGUUGGGGAUUCAUUUCCUUAGUAACGUAGCUAACGCGUGAAGUUGACCGCCUGGGGAGUACGGUCGCAAGAUUAAAACUCAAAGGAAUUGACGGGGACCCGCACAAGCGGUGGAUGAUGUGGAUUAAUUCGAUGCAACGCGAAAAACCUUACCUACCCUUGACAUGUACGGAAUCCUGCUGAGAGGUGGGAGUGCUCGAAAGAGAACCGUAACACAGGUGCUGCAUGGCUGUCGUCAGCUCGUGUCGUGAGAUGUUGGGUUAAGUCCCGCAACGAGCGCAACCCUUGUCCUUAGUUGCUACGCAAGAGCACUCUAAGGAGACUGCCGGUGACAAACCGGAGGAAGGUGGGGAUGACGUCAAGUCCUCAUGGCCCUUAUGGGUAGGGCUUCACACGUCAUACAAUGGUCGGUACAGAGGGCUGCCAAACCGCGAGGUGGAGCUAACCCCAGAAAACCGAUCGUAGUCCGGAUCGCAGUCUGCAACUCGACUGCGUGAAGCUGGAAUCGCUAGUAAUCGCGGAUCAGCAUGUCGCGGUGAAUACGUUCCCGGGUCUUGUACACACCGCCCGUCACACCAUGGGAGUGGGUUUUGCCAGAAGUAGGUAGCCUAACCGUAAGGAGGGCGCUACC